rnacentral:rRNA from 1 species
UACGAGGGGGGCAAGCGUUGUUCGGAAUUAUGGGCGUAAAGGGUGCGUAGGCGGUCUGACAAGUCUGAUGUGAAAUCUAUGGGCUCAACCCAUAGUCUGCAUCGGAAACGUGUCGGGCUUGAGUAUGGGGAGAGGUGAGUGGAAUUUCCGGUGUAGCGGUGAAAUGCGUAGAUAUCGGAAGGAACACCUGUGGCGAAAGCAGGCUUCUGGGCCGUCACUGACGCUGAUCUGCGAAAGCUAGGGGAGCAACAGG